CACAAAUCUCCAGAAGAUCCUGAUUCCGACUCUAGCCCCAGUCUCGACUCACGCAGCGGAAUAAUUGCUGGCGCCACAUUGGGAGGCCUCCUGCUCAUCAGCAUCGCUGUGGCUGUAACCUGGAAAGUGACAGCCAACAGGUCAAAAGUUGCCUCGCUUUCAGGAAAAUGGGCAGAGCAGAGCAGCAGAGUCGCAGCUGUCGCCAGAACAGCCCCCACCCUGGCCCCUGUGCACAGCUAACAGCUCACCGAUCUCGGAACGGUGGAAGUCGCUCCCAUUGCUGAAGUAGAGAUGAUGGGUUUUGAAUUUGGAUAGAACUCAGGACGAAUGAGCAACUGUGCUGAAUGAAGAUGCGGC